UACGAAGGGGGCUAGCGUUGUUCGGAUUUACUGGGCGUAAAGAGCGCGCAGGCGGUCGUUCAAGUCGAGUGUGAAAGCCCCCGGCUCAACUGGGGAGGGUCAUUCGAUACUGAUCGACUCGAAGGCAGGAGAGGGAAGUGGAAUUCCCGGUGUAGUGGUGAAAUGCGUAGAUAUCGGGAGGAACACCAGUGGCGAAGGCGGGUCUCUGGGCCGAUAUCGACGCUGAGGAGCGAAAGCGUGGGGAGCGAACAGG
rnacentral:rRNA from 1 species